AAUAGAUACCCAGGUAGUCCACGCCGUAAACGAUGAGUGCUAAGUGUUAGAGGGUUUCCGCCCUUUAGUGCUGCAGCUAACGCAUUAAGCACUCCGCCUGGGGAGUACGGUCGCAAGACUGAAACUCAAAGGAAUUGACGGGGGCCCGCACAAGCGGUGGAGCAUGUGGUUUAAUUCGAAGCAACGCGAAGAACCUUACCAGGUCUUGACAUCCUCUGACAACUCUAGAGAUAGAGCGUUCCCCUUCGGGGGACAGAGUGACAGGUGGUGCAUGGUUGUCGUCAGCUCGUGUCGUGAGAUGUUGGGUUAAGUCCCGCAACGAGCGCAACCCUUGAUCUUAGUUGCCAGCAUUUAGUUGGGCACUCUAAGGUGACUGCCGGUGACAAACCGGAGGAAGGUGGGGAUGACGUCAAGUCAUCAUGCCCCUUAUGUUCUGGGCUGCACACGUGCUACAAUGGCCGGUACAAAGGGCUGCGAAGCCGCGAGGUUGAGCCAAUCCCAUAAAGCCGGUCUAAGUUCGGA
rnacentral:rRNA from 1 species